GCACAAGCGGUGGAGCAUGUUGGUUUUAAUUCGAAGCAACGCGAAAGAACCUUACCAGGUCUUGACAUCCUCUGACACUCCUAAGAGAUAGGAAUUUCCCUUCGGGGACAGAGUGACAGGUGGUGCAUGGUUGUCGUCAGCUCGUGUCGUGAGAUGUUGGGUUAAGUCCCGCAACGAGCGCAACCCUUGAUCUUAGUUGCCAGCAUUUAGUUGGGCACUCUAAGGUGACUGCCGGUGACAAACCGGAGGAAGGUGGGGAUGACGUCAAAUCAUCAUGCCCCUUAUGACCUGGGCUACACACGUGCUACAAUGGAUGGUACAAAGGGCAGCAAAACCGCGAGGUCGAGCAAAUCCCAUAAAACCAUUCUCAGUUCGGAUUGCAGGCUGCAACUCGCCUGCAUGAAGCCGGAAUCGCUAGUAAUCGCGGAUCAGCAUGCCGCGGUGAAUACGUUCCCGGGCCUUGUACACACCGC
rnacentral:rRNA from 1 species